rnacentral:rRNA from 1 species
UACGGAGGGUGCAAGCGUUAUCCGGAUUCACUGGGUUUAAAGGGCGCGUAGGCGGUCACGACAAGUCAGUUGUGAAAUCUCCGGGCUUAACUCGGAACGGUCAACUGAUACUGUCGGACUAGAGUGCAGAAGGGGCAACUGGAAUUCUCGGUGUAGCGGUGAAAUGCGUAGAUAUCGAGAGGAACACCGGCGGCGAAGGCGGGUUGCUGGGCUGACACUGACGCUGAGGCGCGAAAGCUAGGGGAGCGAACGGG